rnacentral:rRNA from 1 species
AUUGAACGCUGGCGGCAUGCUUUACACAUGCAAGUCGAACGGUAACAGGGAGCUUGCUCCGCUGACGAGUGGCGAACGGGUGAGUAAUGCAUCGGAACGUACCCAGUCGUGGGGGAUAACGUAGCGAAAGUUACGCUAAUACCGCAUACGUCCUGAGGGAGAAAGCGGGGGACCGUAAGGCCUCGCGCGAUUGGAGCGGCCGAUGUCGGAUUAGCUAGUUGGUGGGGUAAAGGCCUACCAAGGCGACGAUCCGUAGCGGGUCUGAGAGGAUGAUCCGCCACACUGGGACUGAGACACGGCCCAGACUCCUACGGGAGGCAGCAGUGGGGAAUUUUGGACAAUGGGCGAAAGCCUGAUCCAGCCAUGCCGCGUGCAGGAAGAAGGCCUUCGGGUUGUAAACUGCUUUAGUCUAGGAAAAAGGGGUGCGAGGUUAAUACCCUCGUGCUUUGAUGGUACUGGAAGAAUAAGCACCGGCUAACUACGUG